AGAAGUUUUACCCACGCCCCAAAAGACAGCUUAACAUAAAAGGGAAUUAGAUAGCACAAAACAGAAGAACAAACGAAACAUAAAAGUAGAUAUAUCAGUGUGCUUCACAGACCUCAUCAAGGGAAAGAGAUGGGAUGUACCAUAUUAAGUCUCUUAUACCAGGGACAGAGGCCUCAGGCAGGAUUGCCAACUUUGGACAGCUGGCGGGAGUGAGAUUGUCAAUAUAGGCAAGUCUACCCACGCAUUCACAUGUAUGUAACACUUUUAUUACCUUGUAAAUGUACAAAUGUAGUUUGCAAACUACCCCAAAUCAGAAAAGGUUGGGAUGGUAUUUAAAAUGAAAAUCAAACUGAAAACAGUACUUUGUUAAAUUAUCUUUUACCUAUGUUACAUUGAAAACAAUACAACAGCACAUUAUUUAAUGUGUUCCUUGUGAAUUUUAUUGUUUUUCUCAAAAUAAACACGUAUUCCAAUUUUGGUUCUUGCAACACAUUUCAAAAAAAGUUGGGACAGGAGCAAUUUGGGGUUAGUAAUGAGAUAAAUUGGUUAAUUAAUGAUGGGAUUUGAAGCAGGUGAUGUCAACAAGUGAUUGUAAUUAUGAUUUGGUACAAAAGCAGCAUCCCCGAAAGGUCUUUAUCCUUUAGGAGCAAAGAUGGGCCGAGGAUUGCCAGUUUGCCAACAAAUCCUUGAGAAAAUUUUUGAAAUGUUUAAAAACAAUGUUACUGUCACGCCCAUGCAGGCGGAGCCCGCUGAGUGCUCCUCGUCAGCCAUGCCCAUACAGGCGGAAUCCACCGGGGGUUCCGCAUUACGCUUGAAGGAGGAACAGUCUUAAGCACUGAGCACCAGCAGAUCGGUGCGAAGUAUUGAGCCAUGCGAAUGAGCCUUACCGAGCACUCUUUCGUCUUACGUCUACCUAUUGCUUCCUACCUGUUCCGUCUACCUGGUGUACUUACCUUACCUGUUCCUCUUCCUCUCCCCAGACUCGCUCCCGAACCUAACCUACCUCUCCUGCUGAGACCGGCUUCUCCUGUUCCUCUCUCCCCGUGUUUUCGUGUCCUGUGUUUCUACGUCGGACGGACCUUUCGGCUUUGGACCUCAGCUCUUGGACCUCGACCAUUCUCCUUGACUUGCCCCAUUUGUCCUUUUGCUCUCGUGCUGCCAAUAAAAGCUUCAGUUGCAUGCACGUCUGGAUCCCUGUUCCCUUCAUUCAGCCGGUAUCACAGUUCCUCAAAGAAAGAUGGGAAGAGAUUUGGAUAUUUCACCUUCAACAGUGCAUAACAUAAUUAAAAGAUUCAAGGAAUCUGGAGGAAUUUCAGUGCGUAAAAGAAAAGGGUGCAAGCCUAAGCUGAACAACCGUGAUCUCCGAUCCCUCAGGCGGCACUGCAUCAAGAAUCAUCAUUUGUCUAUAAGCGAUAUUACCACAGGACUACUUUGGCAAACCUUUGUCAAGUACCACAAUACAUAGUUACAUCCACAAAUGCCAGUUAAAACUCUAUUGUGCCAAAAGGAAGCUCUAUAUUAACAAUGUCCAGAAGCACCGUCGACUUCUCUGGGCUCGGAGGCAUCUGGGUUGAUCCAUCACACAGUGGAAACGUGUACUGUGGUCAGAUGAAUCAGUAUUUCAGGUAUUUUUUGUGAGAAAUGGAUGCCAUGUGUUAAGGACCAAAGAAGAAAAGGAUCACCCAGACUGUUACCAGCAAUAAGUCCAAAAGCCAGGGUCUGUCAUGGUAUGGGGUUGUGUCAGUGCCCUUUGCAAAGGUAACUUGUACUUCUGUGAUGGCACCAUUAAUGCUGAAAAGUACAUAGAGAUUUUGGAGCACAAAAUGCUGCCUUCAAGAAGACAUCUUCCUGGGACGCCCAUGCAUAUUUCAACAAGACAAUGCAAAACCACAUUCUGCACACAUUACAAAGUCCUGGCUACAGAUGAAGAGGGUACGGGUACUUGACUGGCUUGCCUGCAGUCCCGACCUGUCUCCAAUACAGAAUGUGUGGCGUAUUUUGAAGCACAAUAUGCAUCAACGAAAACCCUGUACUGUUGCCCACCUUAAGUCUUGUUUGCAGGAAGAAUGGGACAAAAUAAAGUCUUUUAAGUGUUGUGAAAAGGAAUGGCAACAUUACAAAGUGGUGAAUGCUUUACUGUCCCAACUUUUUUUGAAAUGUGUUGCAAGAACCAAAAUUGGAAUACGUGU